UUCGACCAUUCAGAGAUAAAGAAGAGCCCGUGCAAAAGCGCUUCUGCUUCCGCUUGUUCUGCUGAAGAAACCCUAGCCUCCGCUGCAAAUCCAUCGACAACGACGCCCUCUUUAUUUCUGACGAUGCCGGCUACAGAACAUAUGAAUUCGCCUGGUACCCAUGAAGCAUCCACGUUCAAUUUCAACUCUCCAUCUCCGGGUGGUUUCCAUUUCUCUGGUCAAUUACUUCCGCUGAGUUUGGAAGUUUAUCUCGGAAGAUCCGUGCGUUCCGCGCUUUCCAGAUCUGCCAGAGCACCCAUGCGAUGAACUCACGCUCAGGUUCUCUCUGGUGGGAAUGGCAUUUUGACAAAUGCUCCACAGGAAGGUUCGGAUUUUCGGU